rnacentral:rRNA from 1 species
UAGAAAAGGUGAGAGAUGAUGGCGAGCGGCGGACGGCUGAGUAACACGUAGGAACGUACCCCAAACUGAGGGAUAAGCACCAGAAAUGGUGUCUAAUACCGCAUGUGGUCUUCGGACUAAAGCUUCGGCGGUUUGGGAACGGCCUGCGCUCGAUUAGCUUGUUGGUGAGGUAAUAGCUCACCAAGGCGACGAUCGAUAGCUGGUCUGAGAGGAUGAUCAGCCAGACUGGAACUGAGAACGGUCCAGACUCC